rnacentral:rRNA from 1 species
AUGGAUAAGAAGCUCCCGGCCGUACCAGAUCGACAUCAGCCUCCGAAUGAUCCAGGACACCCUUUUUUUCAUACAAAACUUCAUCCCGAAUGCUUCAACCUUGUUGUACGUAAGCUUGCCAGCGCUGAAUUAGAGAGGACCGCAGGCACCAACUGGGUUGGGAGCAAACAUUAUUUCGACUUGCAGUUUCAUGCUCAGUCACAGGCCCUGAGGUACUCCUGGAUGACUCAAGGAGAGCGCAUCACGACGCUGAUUAACUAUGUUGUGGUCCAGCCUCUUCCUAAAUAUGAUUAUCUACUAUCCUUGAAACUUUCGGAUUCGUCAUACGGGUUACUUGUAGUCAACCGGCUGAGGAGGAGGGUUGUCGUGAUGGAUCCGUCCUUCAACACGUUUGAUCCUGAAGAUAGCACUCAUAACAUAUUGAUGAGGAAGGAAAUCACACUGCUGAAGGAAGAAUUCAACACUGUGUUGCAGACUAGGAUCGCUGGUUGGAAUAACCAAAUCAUGGAUUGGGAACAAGAUACCAUGUCCUGUGCUGCUCGUCGCAAACACUCCGGCUUCUUUGUGCUACAGGAGAUGGCCUACCAGAUUGGUCGUUUGCGUAGCAUGGGCUGGAUGAACACUACCCAAUACUAUAAGGAAGAAGAGAACGAGCAAGAAGCCGAGGUAUUGGGUACAGCAUCCGGGACAAGAGCAGGUCUUAGCCACGCAUUCAUGGCGCAGGUGAAGAUAAAUUCAGCCAUUUCCUCAGACAGGCUUUGCUCUGUCGGCGGCGCGGUCAGAGAGCAUAUUGAAGGAGCGCGCCGCCGGCCUGCUUUAUUCUCCGCAUGUCCUACCUAUAUAUAUGUUAACCUUCUCUGCCAUCCCUCCUCCCCCUCCUUGCUCUUCCUUCGGCCAUCAGAACAGCUGACCUGGACGAAAAUUUCCCAAGGAGUACCUUGUGAUCAUCUUUGGUUGAGAUAUUCUAUCAAAAGUGAGGGAGCUGACAUAUACAUCCUCUGUUCGCCACAUGCAUCCCAGUUCGCUCUGGCCCUCAUCAGUACAUCAGGGCAAUGGGUGCCAGUGCUGCUCCUGCAAAUGUUAAUGUGGCCUUCACAAUUCAAUCCAUUUGCUAGUUCACUAUGUACAGAUAAUGGGCAGCCUGCCACGGUCACCGCUGGUUAUCACCCCUUGCACCUGUACCUCUAUCCUCUUGCUUCACAUGGCCAUGAGACGCGAUGGUAUGGUGGUCGCCGCCGCCGUCGGAUAGGAUGGUGGACGCCGCCGGGCUUCCUCUCGUCCACCGGCCGGGGUGGGGAUGGAGACCGGUCUCGAUGGUGGUCGCCGCUGGAGACAGAGACCAGGAGCGGAGGGGUGCGGUAUGGGCGGAGCAAUCAGGACAGGGGAUGGAAGGAGAGGGGGAGACAGGGGACGGACAGAUCUGCGCCGCCGCCGAGCGCCGCGGUUCGUCGCCGCCGCUCUGUUCAACAUAUGCACAAAACCUACAAAAUCUCUACUCCUAAUGGAGCAGUUGGUAGUCUCCGUCGGUCAAUUUUCGUCCCACCAUUUUCGUCCGGUUUUUCGUCGGUUAACCUUCGUCACAUCCCUACUGCCACGCCUUCGUCCACCGGUUUACGAAAGAAAAAAAAUAGCCCAGCCACCCCGCAGUCCCGCACGACCUUGCCUCCUCGAUCCCACCUCGACAUCCAUCUCGCCGCCACCUCCUGCUCCGCCCCGCCGUGCACCGCCCGCCGCCACCGUGCCUGCGCCGCCGUCCUCCCUAUCGACUCCGCUGUCCGAAUCCCGCCGCCGCCGCGCCUGCGUCCCUCCCCAAACUUUGCAUCAUCCUCCGCGAUCCAGAUCCAGAUCCCAUCCGCCGCCCGCCCCGCCCCAUGGGGGGCUGCCACGCCAAGCCGCGCACCCGCCACGUCGACGGCGCCUCCCGCCGCCGCCCGCGCCGGCCACGCCGCCUCCACCCUCCCCCUGCGGCGGAAACCUUCUCCCAAGCCGCUGUGGAAGGCACCGGAGAAGCCUCCGGCCGCUGACCCGACCAAAGAGGAUGAGUUGCAGGGCGCAAAGAAGGACGCGGGGGCCGCCACUGCUGUUGGCGACGGCGGCGCUAGGAAGGGGAACUCGUCCCCAUUGCCGCCGCCGAGGAAGCUGCAAGAUGCGCCGGCGGUGAACCUCAACGCGUCCUGCUCCUCGGAGGCCUCCGUGGAGUCGCUCCGCGGCCGGGCCCCAGGCGGAAGGACGGAGAGGGGCUGGUCCCGGCCGACCGCGCCCAAGCGUGGGAAGGCUGUGUCUAAGGUGGUGGAGAAGCAUGCUGAUGUCGCGGAGGUUGCCGCUCCGGUGACGCCGGAGGCCGUCCGAGGGAGGAGCCGGUGCGCCUGGACGCCGCGGAUCCCCACGGACGCCGCGGCAGGGCAUGGUCGCGUUAAUCGCAUGGAGGGUCGCGUCGAGGAAAGCGACGACCUCGCAGGCACCGGGUCAAGCGGCUGGCCCUUCUUACGCGAUGGCGCCGUUCUUUUCUUCCCCGGCAGAGAUUGGUGCCGCCAUGGCCGCAUUGAGAGCGCGCUGGACAGCGGGAACUGUCGCGUCAAGGAGGACGCCAUGGACGGCGGAUCCUGGGCGCUGCACGUUGCUGCCGGCCACGGGAGGAUGCCAUACCCUUUGGGCGCAACAAACUCUUGGCCAUAG